rnacentral:rRNA from 1 species
UACGGAGGGAGCUAGCGUUGUUCGGAUAUACUGGGCGUAAAGCGCACGUAGGCGGCGCAGCAAGUCAGGGGUGAAAUCCCGGAGCUCAACUCCGGAACUGCCUUUGAUACUGGGAGGCUCGAGUCCGGGAGAGGUGAGUGGAACUGCGAGUGUAGAGGUGAAAUUCGUAGAUAUUCGCAAGAACACCAGUGGCGAAGGCGGCUCACUGGCCCGGUACUGACGCUGAGGUGCGAAAGCGUGGGGAGCAAACAGG